AUCGACAUUUCAGCUAGACGUUCCUGCUACUAUGCCGGCUGUGAAGCAGCUCUGCGGCCUUCACAGCGUCGCGGCUUACCUACAGAGUCAGCUCUCUCCCUCACAAAACUGAUGAAAUCCAUAUGCUGUCAAAUGUGCAGAAAUUUCCUUUGAGCUUAUGCCAUUGCAUGUACAGCAGCAAGGAAUAAAAGCAGAAAUUGAUUUUCUUUUNUACUUUUUGAGCAACUAAAAUGGAGAUGGCCAUUAUUACUAGAGUUCAAAUAAGG
rnacentral:lncRNA from 1 species